ensembl:lncRNA
GGGUGGGGUGCCCCCGGCCUCUCGGCCUAGGGCUCGGUCACUCAGGCGCAGCUGGGGGCCGGCGGAGCUCACGGGCGCGUCACUGCAACUCCCCCUGACUUCUGCUCCGCGGCUGCUGGGCGAGCCCUCAUCUGGGACUCUCCUCAGCUCUUACUGGGACAGUGGCGCGGCUGCCCCUCUGUUGGUCUUCCAUGGUCUCUUGUGUUCUGGGAGCCUCUGGAUGUCUGGAGUUUUGAUCUCCUCCAUACCCGCUUCACACCCUGGAGGACGGGGCUGUGGCCCCCCCACACUCCCUAGCAGAUCAUUACAUGGAGAAACCUUUGGAAUGCAAGCAUGCUGAUCCACACAGGUAUGCACACAUGGGUAUUCACAGACGCGGACUAAAGCUUUCUUGGCUGCUGCCUCAAAGCACACUGUGCGCUGUCUAUCUUGCGUGCUGCACAAUAUCGUUUAUUACUUAGUAAAUACUGAUAUCUAUGACUAGCUAGUUUAUUGUGAUGGUGCUUUGUUUUCUCUAUUAUUAUGUUGCUCUUUGUUGUUUGCUGUCUCCUCUGUUUGUUUUUGUUUGUUUGUUUGUUUGUUUUUUUCUCCAUACAGGUGACCCAGGAGUUCUUUUUUUUUUCUCUCUCUUCCCCCCCCUUCUCACCGUCUCUUCUCCCCUUUGGUUUUCUUUCUUUCUCUCCCCCUCUUUCUCUCAUUCAUUCCCCCUGUCCUAUUUAUUAAAAAAAAAAAAAAAAAAAAUGACAAAGGAUGAACUGAAGCUCUGCCAUCAUGUAAUGUCGCAUACUGCUGUUUCUGAUGUCAUUUAAAAAAAAAAAAAAAAGAAUAGUAUAUUUCCCAGUGUUGUGUCAUGUGUACUUGUGUGUACAGUUUUGGCACAGCGAGCGGGGUUUUGCAAAAUGUGUUCAAGCAGUGGGCAAAAACUGUAAAUGCAGACUACUUUAGGCCCGGAAGUAGGAUUCAGCAGUAAGUCACUGUAAGUCACCACUUACAGUUUUUUCUGUAUGCUUAAGCACAUUUUUUGUAACUAUUGGCUAAUUUUGCAAAACUCUUCACACAAAUAAGAAAACCUGUCACCCAAUAAUCAAAACAUUGUAGUUCUCUUUCAAAAGCAAACACAGCUAGAUUAACUCUUCACACCUUCGUAAAAAUGGUGUUUCCGUAUCAAACAGUACACACAAGCCAUCAUCUACUAAGCACACAAUGCGCCAACUGC